ensembl:lncRNA LINC02928 long intergenic non-protein coding RNA 2928
AGUGCCCUGGGUUGAAGGAGUCUUGGUGAGUUAAACACCCAUUAUUGUCUUUGGCUGUAAAUGAACUCAAGGUCACUAGGAAGUGAGUGGAAAGUCAGAUGAACUCUGUCUCUCAGAGGCAGGCCAAGGGCAAAGAAGGCACAGAAGCCACUUCAAAACUUUCAGGCCUUUUGGGAGGAAAGGGUGGGUAUGGAAUGAGGCUGACUUUCAAAGAUGAAGCUGUGACAGAUCAGAAAUCUGUAUUUUUGAGCCAGACUAUGUCUGUGUCUAGGUUUGCCUUUGUCUUUUUGUUGUCAGAAUUUCAUUAAACUAAUUAUUCAUUC